GUAUCGCUAUCUCUUUCUGACAUACGGAGGUGGUUGCGCAGCUUUUCGCACAGAGAAGUCGGAUUGCUCAUUUUUUUUGCUAUCCAGUGUAGAAUUACGUAUUAUUUUGUGAAUUAGAUUGUGUCGAGGUGUCAUAUUUUCAACCUACCUGGUACUUUAAGAUGGAUCGGGAAGCAGGUGGUGAAAUGGCGAAAUUGGCGCCGAGUGGAUAUCUCGAAAGCCGUUUUGACGUUAUCAAAAAAAUGGGAAACAACCGACUAUAAGAAAAUAACAUAAAGGGGAAAAGAAGUCAUUCAGACGAAGAAAGCAAUAUACUCAAAUAAAAGAACAAUAAUUGGUUGAAUUUCACUUUUUAACACGCUUAUUAUUAGCUUCACUUGUAACUAUGUAUAAAAGAAAAUCUUCGAAUCUUAAUUUGUUUUUGUAUUAAGGAGAUACCUA
rnacentral:lncRNA from 1 species